rnacentral:piRNA from 1 species
UAAUACCACCUUACAUCCACUCAGGGAUGAA